rnacentral:rRNA from 1 species
UUUAUGGAGAGUUUGAUCCUGGCUCAGAGUGAACGCUGGCGGCGUGCCUAAUACAUGCAAGUCGAACGAUGAAGCUUCUAGCUUGCUAGAAGUGGAUUAGUGGCGCACGGGUGAGUAACGCAUAGAUAACAUGCCCUUUAGUCUAGGAUAGCCACUGGAAACGGUGAUUAAUACUGGAUACUCCCUACGGGGGAAAGUUUUUCGCUAAAGGAUUGGUCUAUGUCCUAUCAGCUUGUUGGUGAGGUAAUGGCUCACCAAGGCUAUGACGGGUAUCCGGCCUGAGAGGGUGAACGGACACACUGGAACUGAGACACGGUCCAGACUCCUACGGGAGGCAGCAGUAGGGAAUAUUGCUCAAUGGGGGAAACCCUGAAGCAGCAACGCCGCGUGGAGGAUGAAGGUUUUAGGAUUGUAAACUCCUUUUGUUAGAGAAGAUUAUGACGGUAUCUAACGAAUAAGCACCGGCUAACUCCGUGCCAGCAGCCGCGGUAAUACGGAGGGUGCAAGCGUUACUCGGAAUCACUGGGCGUAAAGAGUGCGCAGGCGGGGUAGCAAGUCAGAUGUGAAAUCCUAUGGCUUAACCAUAGAACUGCAUUUGAAACUGUUACUCUAGAGUAUGGGAGAGGUAGGUGGAAUUCUUGGUGUAGGGGUAAAAUCCGUAGAGAUCAAGAGGAAUACUCAUUGCGAAGGCGACCUACUGGAACAUUACUGACGCUCAUGCACGAAAGCGUGGGGAGCAAACAGGAUUAGAUACCCUGGUAGUCCACGCCCUAAACGAUGAAUGCUAGUUGUUGCCCUGCUUGUCAGGGCAGUAAUGCAGCUAACGCAUUAAGCAUUCCGCCUGGGGAGUACGGUCGCAAGAUUAAAACUCAAAGGAAUAGACGGGGACCCGCACAAGCGGUGGAGCAUGUGGUUUAAUUCGAAGAUACGCGAAGAACCUUACCUAGGCUUGACAUUGAUAGAAUCUACUAGAGAUAGUGGAGUGCCCUUUUAGGGAGCUUGAAAACAGGUGCUGCACGGCUGUCGUCAGCUCGUGUCGUGAGAUGUUGGGUUAAGUCCCGCAACGAGCGCAACCCUCGUCCUUAGUUGCUAGCAGUUUGGCUGAGCACUCUAAGGAGACUGCCUUCGUAAGGAGGAGGAAGGUGAGGACGACGUCAAGUCAUCAUGGCCCUUACGCCUAGGGCUACACACGUGCUACAAUGGGAUGCACAAAGAGAUGCAAUAUCGCAAGGUGGAGCUAAUCUCAAAAACAUCUCUCAGUUCGGAUUGUAGUCUGCAACUCGACUACAUGAAGCUGGAAUCGCUAGUAAUCGUGAAUCAGCCAUGUCACGGUGAAUACGUUCCCGGGUCUUGUACUCACCGCCCGUCACACCAUGGGAGUUGUAUUCGCCUUAAGUCGGGAUACUAAAUUGGUUACCGCCCACGGCGGAUGCAGCGACUGGGGUGAAGUCGUAACAAGGUAACCGUAGGUGAACCUGCGGUUGGAUCACCUCCUUU